UCUGUGUUUAUAUAUGGCAGGUGAGCUGGUCAUCAAUUAAGCAACCUUUCUGUGGUUUUGUUGGGUCAAAUCUUGUUUGAGAGGAUGCCAUGGCCCAAGAAAAGGUGCCAGAUUGCUACCUUUGGACGGGAUGUGUGUGGUGGUGUAUGCAUAUCAAGAGAAGUAUGAUCCUCAAUGUUGUCCUGUGAAUGGUCUUCCCCACAUUUACAAGGUAGUUAAAGCAGUGCAUCAACAAUAUCAUCAUCAUCAUUGGUUCUAGUGCGUUUAACAUCGACAAGUGUUUCAAUGAUGCUGUUCCCUAUGUGUGCUCUGAGAAUUUUGCCAGAUGAAGAUUUUAGUGUCAGGUUUCUGGAAGUUUUAACCCCUAUUGCUGUUGAUUUGAAUUGUGUUUUGCAUUUUGGACACAGAAUUUGUGUGCUUGAUAAUGACAUAUUGUCAAUAACAUGUUUUAAUGGGCAUAUGUAUGUUUUUUUAUUUGUACGCCAAUUAUUUCACACCUGUCGGUAAUUGAUGUUGAUGUGGGAACAAAGAAUGCAGUACCUUCAGAUGCCAUGGCCCAAGAAAAGGUCCCAGAUUGCUACUUUUUAAAAAAUAGCUGAAGUUGCACUGUUAUUGCUUUAAGAAUUUUGUCAGAUGUAAAUUUCAGUGUCAGGUUUCCACAAGUUUUACCAUUUAAUAUUAAGAGCUAAUUUUGAAAAUUUGCUCUGAGGGCACUACUUUUGGUUUUUCUUUUAGACUUUUGUUACAGAAUUCUACUUCACCAACAUGCACUAUUUUGUAGUUGUAUGUGAAGAGGAUGUCAUUAUUUCUACCUUGUAAAGCUUUCACAUUUCUUUCAGUUUUAACACUUAUUGCUGGUGAUUUGAAUUGGGUUUGCCAUUUUGGACACCAUAUCUUUAUGUUGAGUAGUGAUGUGUUACCAAUAACAUGUUUUUAAUGAGCUUAUGUAUGUUUCUUUGUGCACCAAUUAUUCCACAGUUUUUAGUUAUGCAAGUUGAUGUGAGAACUAAGAAUGCAGUCAUGGUUUUUGGUUGUAUUGUUUCACUGAUAUGUUACUCAUUUUGUAUCACUGUUUGAUGUUAAGGCACUGUUCCCACCAGACCAGUUUUUCAGCUGUUAUGUCUGCUACUAUAUAGAUUGUUUUCUCAGUAAAAGUUCUGUUACUCAUCA